GUUCAAAUGUGACUUAAGAAACGCUGGCCGCCCUUCCCAGCUCGAGCCUGUGGGGCUACACAAAGGAGAUGGUGAAAGGCAUGAUCGUGUGAGAGUUUUCCCGUCCCGUGACGGUAGGCCCCUAUGACACCUUCUGUAUCAUCAAGAUGGAGUGUUAAGCUACCUGCUCGGCUCCGCAGCUCGUCAGACUGAGAAAAGGAAACUGUCAAAGUAUCGACCACUGUCUGACAGGUUUGAGGUCAAGCCUGUGGAAUCGGAACCCUUAGGCGUUCUCGGCCUCGGACCAUAACCAUGCUCCCCGCUAUACGCAAGUGCAAGGUCUAUGAGUCUGAGUGGCUAUUCCAGUGCAUCUUCUUCACCAUCCUCCGGGGUAAAGCCUCUUCAGUUUUGUCUGCUGGGCCCAGCGGAUCAUAACUAACUAUUUUGAGAUGUUGGAAGAAGAAGAAAAAAAA